GGGGGUGAUGUGGGUUCGACGGGAACGAUGGGCCGCUAAGCGGCAGGCCGGGUUCGCCACCAAACCGUAAAAAUGGUGGCAGAAAAACAACUGCCGAAGAAGAAUUAGCUCUCGCGGCAUAAGAGUAAGUGCGCCGCGACGUCCUCUUAGAGCUUGGGGGUGGCUCUAAGAGGGCGUGACAGGUAACCCCCUAGCUCAUGCUGGUUUGUGCCCGGCAGCAUGAGCGAAAUAUUAAGGGCACAUCCCUUUCCGAAGCCGGCCCACGGGGCGUCGGAAAGGGAUAAAACAAAACCGUGGGCUAAGCCUGUAGAAGCUUAGCGGCUCGCGUUCUCGGAAGCGGGUUCGAUUCCCGCCACCUCCACCA
rnacentral:tmRNA from 1 species